rnacentral:rRNA from 1 species
UACGGGGGGGGCAAGCGUUGUUCGGAAUUACUGGGCGUAAAGGGCUCGUAGGCGGCCAACUAAGUCAGACGUGAAAUCCCUCGGCUUAACCGGGGAACUGCGUCUGAUACUGGAUGGCUUGAAUCCGGGAGAGGGAUGCGGAAUUCCUGGUGUAGCGGUGGAAUGCGCAGAUAUCAGGAGGAACACCAAUAGCGAAGGCAGCUCGCUGGGACGGUAUUGACGCUCAUGCACGAAAGCGUGGGGAGCAAACAGG